rnacentral:lncRNA from 1 species
CCCAUAAGUUCAAUUCUAUCUGGUAGUAAGAUAUAUCAUGAUCUCCACCAUAGUAUCAUUGAAACUUCUUUCAAUGGAUUGAAAUAAUUCUAACUCUUAUCUAUCAAGAAUCAUCAAUCUAUUAUGAUCCUAGUAAGCUCUUACAAUCUAUCAGUGACAUCUAGCAAUAUAUAGUGGCAAGCCAGCAGAACUGAAGAGAUAAACCUCUAGAUGUAGUUAUCGUAUGAUCUGAUUCUUCUAUCGUGAGUUUCGAUAGGACCGAGAUCAAGAUUAACUCGUCAAAUCUCAUCACUAUCAUUUGAUAGAAUCAUUCGAUUCAAGUCUGAUAUAAAAUUCAAUAGAAAUAUUUUUCUA